AUAGACAGCUGGGGGCAGGCUUAACACAUGCAAAUCGAACGAGUGGCGGACGGGUGAGUAAUGCUUGGGAAUCUGGCUUAUGGAGGGGGAUAACGACGGGAAACUGUCGCUAAUACCGCGUACCAUAGGAUGAGCCCAAGUGGGAUUAGGUAGUUGGUGGGGUAAUGGACCACCAAGCCGACGAUCUCUAGCGGGGCUGAGAGGAUGACAAGCUACACCGGGACUGAGAGACGGCCCGGACUCCUACGGGGGGCAGCAGUGGUGAAUAUUGCGCAAGGGUGGCAACCCUGACGCAGCCAUGCCGCGUGAAUUAAGAAGGCCUUCGGUGUGUAAAGUUCUUUCGGUAUUUAGGCGUUAACUACAGAAGAAGCACCGGCUAACUCCGUGCCAGCAGCCGCGGUAAUUC
rnacentral:rRNA from 1 species